GAUGAACGCUAGCGGCAGGCCUAAUACAUGCAAGACGAACGGUAAGUUGAGUAGCAAUACUUAGCCGAGAGUGUCGUACGGGUGCGUAACACGUAUGCAACCUACCCUAUACAGGAGGAUAGCCUAGGGAAACCUGGAUUAACCCUUCAUAGUAUUAUUGGAUGGCAUCAUUUGAUAAUUAAAACUGAGGUGGUAUAGGAUGGGCAUGCGUCUGAUUAGUUAGUUGGCGGGUAAUGGCCCACCAAGACGAUGAUCAGUAGGGGUUCUGAGAGGAAGAUCCCCCACACUGGCACUGAGAUACGGGCCAGACUCCUACGGGAGCAGCAGUAGGGAAUAUUGGGUCAAUGGAUGCAAGUCUGAACCAGCCAUGCCGCGUGCAGGAAGAAGGCCUCCUGGGUUGUAAACUGCUUUUGCCAGGGGAAUAAAUUCCAUGCGUAGAAACUGAAGGUACCUGGUAGAAAUAACGCCGACGGACUAACUACGUGCCAGCAGCCG
rnacentral:rRNA from 1 species